UCUACGGGUGGCUGCAGUGGGGGAUAUUGCACAAUGGGGGGAACCCUGAUGCAGCGACGCCGCGUGGGUGAAGGAGUAUUUCGGUAUGUAAAGCCCUAUCGGCAGGGAAGAAUUUAGACGGUACCUGACUAAGAAGCCCCGGCUAACUACGUGCCAGCAGCCGCGGUAAUACGUAGGGGGCAAGCGUUAUCCGGAUUUACUGGGUGUAAAGGGAGCGUAGACGGCAGAGCAAGUCUGAAGUGAAAGCCCGCGGCUCAACUGCGGGACUGCUUUGGAAACUGCCCGGCUAGAGUGCUGGAGUGGUAAGCGGAAUUCCUAGUGUAGCGGUGGAAUGCGUAGAUAUUAGGAGGAACACCAGUGGCGAAGGCGGCUUACUGGACAGUAACUGACGUUGAGGCUCGAAAGCGUGGGGAGCAAACAGGAUUAGAUACCCGGGUAGUC
rnacentral:rRNA from 1 species